ACGGUAGCAGGUAAGUACUUGUACUUAUGCCGACGAGUGGCGGACGGGUGAGUAAUGCUUGGGAAUCUGUCUUAUGGAGGGGGAUAACGACGGGAAACUGUCGCUAAUACCGCGUAGAAUCGGGAGAUGAAAGUGUGGGACCUUCGGGCCACAUGCCAUAGGAUGAGCCCAAGUGUGAUUAGGUAGUUGGUGGGGUAAAGGCCUACCAAGCCGACGAUCGCUAGCUGGUCUGAGAGGAUGGCCAGCCACACCGGGACUGAGACACGGCCCGGACUCCUACGGGAGGCAGCAGUGGGGAAUAUUGCGCAAUGGGGGCAACCCUGACGCAGCCAUGCCGCGUGAAUGAAGAAGGCCUUCGGGUUGUAAAGUUCUUUCGGUGAUGAGGAAGGUUGGUGUGUUAAUAGCAUGCCAAAUUGACGUUAAAUACAGAAGAAGCAC
rnacentral:rRNA from 1 species